UGAUCAUGGCUCAGAUUGAACGCUGGCGGCAGGCCUAACACAUGCAAGUCGAGCAGUAACAGGGGAAGCUUGCUUCUCGCUGACGAGCGGCGGACGGGUGAGUAAUGUAUGGGGAUCUGCCCGAUAGAGGGGGAUAACUACUGGAAACGGUGGCUAAUACCGCAUAAUCUCUAAGGAGCAAAGCAGGGGAACUUCGGUCCUUGCGCUAUCGGAUGAACCCAUAUGGGAUUAGCUAGUAGGUGGGGUAAUGGCUCACCUAGGCGACGAUCCCUAGCUGGUCUGAGAGGAUGAUCAGCCACACUGGGACUGAGACACGGCCCAGACUCCUACGGGAGGCAGCAGUGGGGAAUAUUGCACAAUGGGCGCAAGCCUGAUGCAGCCAUGCCGCGUGUAUGAAGAAGGCCCUAGGGUUGUAAAGUACUUUCAGUCGGGAGGAAGGCGUUGAUGCUAAUAUCAUCAACGAUUGACGUUACCGACAGAAGAAGCACCGGCUAACUCCGUGCCAGCAGCCGCGGUAAUACGGAGGGUGCCAGCGUUAAUCGGAAUUACUGGGCGUAAAGCGCACGCAGGCGGUUGAUUAAGUUAGAUGUGAAAUC
rnacentral:rRNA from 1 species